GGUUUCUGGUUCCUCUUGUUUUAUUCUCACGGUUUCUGGUUCCUCUUGUUUUAUUCUCACGGUUUCUGGUUCCUCUGGUUUUAUUCUCCAGGUUUCUGGUUCCUCUUGUUUUAUUCUCCAGGUUUCUGGUUCACUCGUGUCCUCUUCUCUCUCCUCUUUAACAAACAUCAUUUUCACAGCAGCAGAUCUCAGUUCAGCUGAUACUCCUCCAGAUAUUCCUGCUUGAUUCAAAACUUAGGAAGACGACUGUGAAGAUGAAAAUAUUACAGGUAGGCCUAUUUACUGACGUGACUCAUAAACUGUAUUUUUCUCUUAAAAUAAAAAUUUCUAACUGUUUGUAUUAAGGCAGCAU